rnacentral:sRNA from 1 species
CUGAAGUUAGCAACAAGGAAGUUGAGGCUGCCUGUUUUAGGCAAUGUGGUCCGGUGAGAAUGUGUGGUUCAGAUCUGGCUUUCCAGGACCUAAUCCGGAGAGACAUCCUGUACUACAAAGGCCGCAUUGACAUGGAUAAAUAUGAGGUAGUUGACAUUGAGGAUGGCAGAGAUGAUGACUUUAAUGUCAGCAUGAAGAAUGCCUUUAAGCUUCACAACAAGGAGACUGAGGAGAUACAUCUGUUCUUUGCCAAGAAGCUGGAGGAAAAAAUACGCUGGCUCAGGGCUUUCAGAGAAGAGAGGAAAAUGGUACAGGAAGAUGAAAAAAUUGGCUUUGAAAUUUCUGAAAACCAGAAGAGGCAGGCUGCAAUGACUGUGAGAAAAGUCCCUAAGCAAAAAGGUGUCAACUCUGCCCGCUCAGUUCCUCCUUCCUACCCACCACCGCAGGACCCGUUAAUCCACGGCCAGUACCUGGUCCCCGACGGCAUCGCUCAGUCGCAGGUCUUUGAGUUCACCGAACCCAAGCGCAGCCAGUCACCAUUCUGGCAAAACUUCAGCAGGUUAACCCCCUUCAAAAAAUGAUACCUACAGGGAGGCAGAUAAUUUUAAAAUAAAGUAAAUAAAAUUA